rnacentral:rRNA from 1 species
GAUGAACGCUGGCGGCGUGCUUAACACAUGCAAGUCGAACGAAGCACUUUUAAUUCUUCGGAAGAGGAAGUGACCGAGUGGCGGACGGGUGAGUAACGCGUGGGUACCCUGCCUUAUACAGGGGGAUAACAGUUAGAAAUGACUGCUAAUACCGCAUAAGCCGAUAGAGUCGCAUGACUUAGUCGGAAAAGAUUUAUCGGUAUAAGAUGGACCCGCGUCUGAUUAGCUAGUUGGUGAGGUAAUGGCCCACCAAGGCGACGAUCAGUAGCCGGCUUGAGAGAGUGAACGGCCACAUUGGGACUGAGACACGGCCCAAACUCCUACGGGAGGCAGCAGUGGGGAAUAUUGCACAAUGGGGGAAACCCUGAUGCAGCAACGCCGCGUGAAGGAAGAAGUAUUUCGGUAUGUAAACUUCUAUCAGCAGGGAAGAAAAUGACGGUACCUGACUAAGAAGCCCCGGCUAACUACGUGCCAGCCGCCGCGGUAA